UACAUUCACUACUGUAAGUCGCUCUGGAUAAGAGCGUCUGCUAAAUGUACUAAA
rfam:Salmo salar isolate Sally breed double haploid chromosome ssa06, whole genome shotgun sequence.